rnacentral:ncRNA from 1 species
AUGGGCUGCCGGAGAGAAUAGGGAAUCGGGUGCAAAUCCCGAACGGUACCGCCACUGUAAGCGAGGAGGCGGCCGCACAGGGCGAAAGCCGGUCAUUGGAUGCAUAUCUGAGAAGGCGGUGCGGCAGCUGAAGAGACGCGAAGUCAGGAUAACUGCUAAAGCU